AUAAAACCCUUUUUGUCAAUAUGAAUAAACAUGAAUAAGAAUGAAUGUUUGGACUUAGAAUUUUUUUGCAUACAUUUCAUGAAUAAGAAUGAAUAAUGAGGAAUAAAUUUUGGACUUAGAAUAUUUUUUCCAUUGUGUGACAAACAUGAAUAAGCAUGAAUAAAGCUGCAUGAUAAUGACUCAGAACUAUUUGUGGUAAACGGCAUAAAAAUUGAUAAUGAAAUUUGUUCUAGGACUUUUGUAUACGUAUAUUUUUACUUGAUUGUUGAUGCGGAAUAACAUACAUGUACAUGUAUGUAUUCCACAGUUAAAUGAAAAAAAUAUAUGAUAAUUUUAAUAGAUAGCUCAUGUAGGUGAUAUUCAUAACAUCUUCAUACAAAACACUGCCCCUGCGAGAUGAAAUUCAUGAACUGAUGAACCACCAUGAACUGUUCAUGAAUGUUCAUGAACAAUGCAUGACUGUUCAUAAUGAGUUCAUUAAGUUUCGUUCAUGAAUUUAGUUCAUGAAUAGUUCAUAAAAUGCAGUUCAUGAAUAUUUUCUGAACUUUAAUGAACUGUAAGUCAGUUCAUAAUGUUCAUAAAUUGUUCAUAACACAUGUUCAUGAACAUUUUAUGAACUUUAAUGAAUAAAUGAAUACAUAAAGUUUAUAAAAAAAUUCAUAAAUUUGACUGUCAUACAAGUUCUCAUAAAAUUUGACAUCCAUUACAUUGUAUCAUGACAUCACAAUUAAAGUGCUUUUAGCAUGACCUCUAGUUUAUUCAUUUACAGAUCUUGAGAUCAUUUUGAGACAAAAUUCAGUUGAAUAGCAAAAGUGUAAAUACAUGUAUGAGGGGGAGGACAGGGGUAAGGGAGACAGGGAGGAAGGGUGUAGGAGAAAGGAGAAAGGGUGUAGGAGAAAGGAGAAAGGGGUAGGAGAAAGGAGAGGAAGGCUGGGAGAAAGAGAAAAAGUUGGAGAAAAAAAAUAAAAUAUGAAAAAAUAAAAUAUCUCUCUUUUUUGUGGUAAAUUAAAGAAAAUAAAAUAAUCAUUAAAAAAAAAAUCAUUUAACAACAGAUAUUAGCUCAGCACCUUUUUCUUUUUUUCAUACUAUGCCAGAAGAGUGUUACAUUUUUAGAGUCAUACAAAAUUUGGGACUCACUUUGAAGUUUUGUAACUUACUUUGAGCUGGAGAUGUUUCUCAUGUUUCGUUUUUACAAUCAUGACAAAUUUGGUAAACUUAAUUUCUUUCUUCUAAAGAUGUAAUUUCUGAUUGUCUCUCAAAGUUCAAACAUGUGCCUUUCUUAACCAUCAUACGGCACAUAGAGGAACUUGGAAAAUAAGGACAGAUUAAUGACAAUUCAUUCUUUCCCAAACAUUGCAGACUGGUGUCAAUAAUUAUCAUUAUUAAUGAAUUACGUUUACCUAUUGUAAAACGCUUCAAUGACUUUGACAAAAGAUUACAAUGUAGACAAAUGAUUACAAGUGACUGGGAAUAGAAAAACGUCAUAAUGACGUCAGCAAAAUGAUGUUUUUGACGCUUACAAUACAAAUGAAGAUGUUUGAUGAGGAGUGAAGUAAUAUAGCUGUCAAAACAAAGCAGAUUUGUUAUCAGAUAAGUAAAUUAUAUAUAUUUUGAUUAUAUUUUUUUGCUGAAUAACUAUUUGUUGAAGCAUUUUAUAAUAAUUAUUGAUUAAUUAAAAUAAAUAUAAAACACCAGAAAGUAGCCUUUACAUUUUACAGUGU
rnacentral:lncRNA from 1 species